rnacentral:rRNA from 1 species
AAUGAACGCUGGCGGCGUGUCUUAAGCAUGCAAGUCGUGCGGCAAGGGUAGCAAUACCCCUAGAGCGCCGGACUGGUGAUUAACGCCGUGGUGAUCAGCCCGUGGGUUGGGGUUAGCCGUAGGAAAAAGUGGGUAAUACCCAAUACGAUGGCGAGACGGUGGGCUUGUCAGGGAAGGCGCUUCGGCGCCCUCCGAGGAUGCGCCCGCGUCCCGGUAGCUAGUUGGUGAGGUAACGGCCCACCAAGGCGAUGGUGGGUAGGCGGCAUGAGAGGGUGUACGCCCACACUGGGACUGAGAUACGGCCCAGACUCCUACGGGAGGCAGCAGCUAAGAAUAUUCCGCAAUGGACGAAAGUCUGACGGAGCGACGCCGCGUGGAUGACGAAGGCCGGAAGGUUGUAAAAUCCUUUUGGUGGGGAAGAAUAAGGCUGGGAGGGAAUGCCCGGCUGAUGACAUGAACCGACGAAUAAGUCCCGGCUAACUACGUGCCAGCCGCCGCCGUAA